UACAGAGGGUGCGAGCGUUAAUCGGAAUUACUGGGCGUAAAGGGCGUGUAGGCGGGUAUGUAAGUUGGAUGUGAAAGACUUGGGCUUAACCUGAGUAUGACGUUUAAUACUGUAUAUCUAGAGUGAAGUAGAGGGUAGUGGAAUUUCCGGUGUAGCGGUGAAAUGCGUAGAUAUCGGGAGGAACACCAGUGGCGAAGGCGGCUACCUGGACUUUUACUGACGCUGAGGCGCGAAAGCGUGGGGAGCGAAC
rnacentral:rRNA from 1 species